rnacentral:rRNA from 1 species
CGCAUCUGUGCAUGCAGCAUAUCAAUAAGCGGAGGAAAAGAAACUAACAAGGAUUCCCCUAGUAACGGCGAGUGAAGCGGGAAGAGCUCAAAUUUGAAAUCUUAAAGGGUUUCCCUUUACGAAUUGUAGUUUAAAGAAGUGUUUUCUGUUGAGGUUUUGGUAAAAGUUCUUUGGAAUAGGACAUCAUAGAGGGUGAGAAUCCCGUAUUUGACCUUUACUUUCAACUUUGUGAUACACUUUCAAAGAGUCGGAUUGUUUGGGAAUGCAGUCCAAAAUGGGUGGUAAAUUUCAUCUAAAGCUAAAUAUUGGCGAGAGACCGAUAGCGAACAAGUACCGUGAGGGAAAGAUGAAAAGAACUUUGAAAAGAGAGUUAAACAGUACGUGAAAUUGUCAAAAGGGAAGCGUUUGACACCAGUGUUGUUUUUCUGAAAAUCAAUUAAAGAACUGUUUAUGCUAAGCUGUUUAGACUUUAUCAGCUAACUGUUUAGUUUUGAGCUUUUCUUUAAUGCACUUUUCAGUUAACAAGUCAACAUCAAUUUCUUUUGCUGUAAAAAAGCUUGAGGAAGGUGGCUUGAGAUUCGUCUUAAGUGUUUAUAGCCUCUUGCCUAUGCAGUCGGAGAGAUUGAGGUCUGCAGCGUAGAUCCUUCGGGGCUAAAUGCAUUUGUGCUAAGUUAUAGCAUUUUAUAGACAACUUGUUGACUAUGAUUUGUCUUGUAGCUUACUCGCUUAUGUUAUUUUACCUACGCUUAGGAUGUUGAGUCAUCACACAUCUU